rnacentral:tRNA from 2 species
GUCAGGGUAGCUCAGCUGGUAGAGCAGAGGA